GAUGAACGCUGGCGGCGUGCCUAAUACAUGCGAGUCGAGCGAACAGACGAGGAGCUUGCUCCUCUGACGUUAGCGGCGGACGGGUGAGUAACACGUGGAUAACCUACCUAUAAGACUGGGAUAACUUCGGGAAACCGGAGCUAAUACCGGAUAAUAUAUUAAACCGCAUGGUUCAAUAGUGAAAGACGGUUUUGCUGUCACUUAUAGAUGGAUCCGCGCCGCAUUAGCUAGUUGGUAAGGUAACGGCUUACCAAGGCAACGAUGCGUAGCCGACCUGAGAGGGUGAUCGGCCACACUGGAACUGAGACACGGUCCAGACUCCUACGGGAGGCAGCAGUAGGGAAUCUUCCGCAAUGGGCGAAAGCUUGACGGAGCAACGCCGCGUGAGUGAUGAAGGUCUUCGGAUCGUAAAACUCUGUUAUUAGGGAAGAACAAAUGUGUAAGUAACUAUGCACGUCUUGACGGUACCUAAUCAGAAAGCCACGGCUAACUACGUG
rnacentral:rRNA from 1 species